rnacentral:rRNA from 1 species
UACGGGGGGGGCAAGCGUUGUUCGGAAUUACUGGGCGUAAAGGGCUCGUAGGCGGCCAACUAAGUCGGACGUUAAAUCCCUCGGCUUAACCGGGGAACUGCGUCCGAUACUGGAUGGCUUGAGUUCGGGAGAGGGAUGCGGAAUUCCAGGUGUAGCGGUGAAAUGCGUAGAUAUCUGGAGGAACACCGGUGGCGAAGGCGGCAUCCUGGACCGACACUGACGCUGAGGAGCGAAAGCCAGGGGAGCAAACGGG